CCAGACUCCUACGGGAGGCAGCAGUGGGGGAUAUUGCACAAUGGGGGGAACCCUGAUGCAGCGACGCCGCGUGGGUGAAGGAGCGUUUCGGCGCGUAAAGCCCUAUCGGCAGGGAAGAAGGAGGACGGUACCUGACUAAGAAGCCCCGGCUAACUACGUGCCAGCAGCCGCGGUAAUACGUAGGGGGCAAGCGUUAUCCGGAUUUACUGGGUGUAAAGGGAGCGCAGACGGCAGUGCAAGUCUGGAGUGAAAGCCCGUGGCUUAACCACGGGACUGCUCUGGAAACUGUGCAGCUAGAGUGCAGGAGAGGCAGGCGGAAUUCCUAGUGUAGCGGUGAAAUGCGUAGAUAUUAGGAGGAACACCGGUGGCGAAGGCGGCCUGCUGGACUGUAACUGACGUUGAGGCUCGAAAGCGUGGGGAGCAAACAGGAUUAGAUACCCCGGUA
rnacentral:rRNA from 1 species